rnacentral:rRNA from 1 species
GUGGGGGAUAUUGGACAAUGGGGGGAACCCUGAUCCAGCGACGCCGCGUGAGCGAAGAAGUAUUUCGGUAUGUAAAGCUCUAUCAGCAGGGAAGAAACAUGACGGUACCUGAGUAAGAAGCACCGGCUAAAUACGUGCCAGCAGCCGCGGUAAUACGUAUGGUGCAAGCGUUAUCCGGAUUUACUGGGUGUAAAGGGAGCGCAGGCGGUGCGGCAAGUCUGAUGUGAAAACCCGGGGCUCAACCCCGGGACUGCAUUGGAAACUACCGAACUAGAGUGUCGGAGAGGUAAGUGGAAUUCCUAGUGUAGCGGUGAAAUGCGUAGAUAUUAGGAGGAACACCAGUGGCGAAGGCGGCUUACUGGACGAUAACUGACGCUGAGGCUCGAAAGCGUGGGGAGCAAACAGG